rnacentral:rRNA from 1 species
AACGAACGCUGGCGGCAUGCCUAACACAUGCAAGUCGAACGAGACCUCCGGAACAAGUGGCGCACGGGUGCGUCACGUGUGGGAACCUGCACUUAGGCUCGGAAUAACUCCUUGUCAGGGGUGCUAAUAUCGGGUAACGUACUCGGAUAAAAGAUUCAUCGUCUUUGGGGGGGCACGCGUUGGUUUAGCCGGUGGGUAGGGUAAAAGCCUACCACGGGGUCGCUACAUAGCUGGUCUGAGAGGAUGAGCAGCCACACUGGGACUGAGACACGGCACAGACUCCUGCAGGAGGCAGCAGUGGGGAAUAUUGGACAAUGGGCGAAAGCCUGAUCCAGCAAUGCUGCGUGAGUGAUGAAGGCCUUAGGGUUGUAAAGCUCUUUUACCCGGGAUGAUAAUGACAGUACCGGGAGAAUAAGCUCCGGCUAACUCCGUG